rnacentral:rRNA from 1 species
UACGGAGGGUGCAAGCGUUGUCCGGAAUCACUGGGCGUAAAGGGCGCGUAGGCGGCUCAUGAAGGCUGUGGUGAAAGUCCGGGGCUCAACCUCGGAUCGGCCGUGGCGACUCGUGGGCUGGAGCACUGUAGAGGCGGGUGGAAUUCCGGGUGGAGUGGUGAAAUGCGUAGAGAUCCGGAGGAACACCAAAGGCGAAGGCAGUGUCCUGGGGAGUACCUGACGCUCAGGUGCGAAAGCCAGGGGAGCGAACGGG